CUGGGACAUGCCAUUCUAGGCUCCAGGUACCCACACACGCAUGCUGUCUACAACUUCCAGGAAGAUAGUAACAUUCCCAUUUACAGAUGAGGAAAAUGAGGCUCAAAGAGGUUCAGUCACUUGACCAUGGAUCUCACAGAGUUGAAAAAAGUGCCAAACAACAUCCCUCCAGAUAUUGUUAAACUUGACUUGUCAUACAAUAAAAUCAACCAACUUCGACCCAAGGAAUUUGAAGAUGUUCAUGAGCUGAAGAAAUUAAACCUCAGCAGCAAUGGCAUUGAAUUCAUCGAUCCUGGGUCUUUGAGAUGAAACCCUGCAAGUAGACUUACGUGAAUGAUUUUUGCUGUGCCGCUUUUUUAGGGCUCACACAUUUAGAAGAAUUAGAUUUAUCAAACAACAGUCUGCAAAACUUUGACUAUGGCGUAUUAGAAGACUUGUAUUUUUUGAAACUCUUGUGGCUCAGAGAUAACCCUUGGAGAUGUGACUACAACAUUCACUACCUCUACUACUGGUUAAAGCACCACUACAAUGUCCAUUUUAAUGGCCUGGAAUGCAAAACGCCUGAAGAAUACAAAGGAUGGUCUGUGGGAAAAUAUAUUAGAAGUUACUAUGAAGAAUGCCCCAAAGACAAGUUACCAGCAUAUCCUGAGUCAUUUGACCAAGACACAGAAGAUGAUGAAUGGGAAAAAAAACAUAGAGAUCACACCGCAAAGAAGCAAAGCGUAAUAAUUACUAUAGUAGGAUAAGGUAGAAAUUGUUCUGAUUGUAAUUAGUUUUGUAUUUUCUAUACUGGUGUUAGAAAACAUAUG
rnacentral:lncRNA from 10 species